GACGAACGCUGGCGGCGUGCCUAAUACAUGCAAGUGGGACGCAAGGAAACACACUGUGCUCGCACACCGUGUUAUCUUGAGUCGCGAACGGGUGAGUAACGCGUAGGCAACCUGCCUAUUAGCGGGGGAUAACUAUUGGAAACGAUAGCUAAUACCGAAUAAUAUUAAUCAUUGCAUGAUAAUUGAUUGAAAGUUGCAAGCGCAGCGCUUGUAGAUGGACCUACGUUGUAUUAGCUAGUUGGUAAGGUAAGAGCCUACCAAGGCGACGAUACAUAGCUGAUCGGAGAGGAUGAUCAGCCACACUGGGACUGAGACACGGCCCAGACUCCUACGGGAGGCAGCAGUGGGGAAUAGUGGACAAUGGGCGAAAGCCUGAGCCAGCAAUGCCGCGUGAGUGAUGAAGGCCUUAGGGUUGUAAAGCGCUUUUACCCGGGAUGAUAAUGACAGUACCGGGAGAAUAAGCUCCGGCUAACUCCGUG
rnacentral:rRNA from 1 species